rnacentral:rRNA from 1 species
GAUGAACGCUGGCGGCGUGCCUAAUACAUGCAAGUCGAGCGAACAGACGAGGAGCUUGCUCCUCUGACGUUAGCGGCGGACGGGUGAGUAACACGUGGAUAACCUACCUAUAAGACUGGGAUAACUUCGGGAAACCGGAGCUAAUACCGGAUAAUAUAUUGAACCGCAUGGUUCAAUAGUGAAAGACGGUUUUGCUGUCACUUAUAGAUGUAUCCGCGCCGCAUUAGCUAGUUGGUAAGGUAACGGCUUACCAAGGCGACGAUGCGUAGCCGACCUGAGAGGGUGAUCGGCCAAACUGGAACUGAGACACGGCCCAGACUCCUACGGGAGGCAGCAGUAGGGAAUCUUCCGCAAUGGGCGAAAGCCUGACGGGGCAACGCCGCGUGAGUGAUGAAGGUCUUCGGAUCGUAAAACUCUGUUAUUAGGGAAGAACAAAUGUGUAAGUAACUAUGCACGUCUUGACGGUACCUAAUCAGAAAGCCACGGCUAACUACGUG